AUGCUGAAUCUACCUGUUGCCUUCAACACCAUAUGUGAGUUACUCUCUGACUUUUUGACAGACAGAGGAUUGGGGUUUUAUGAGAUUGAGCCAUGUCCAUUCGGCCAAGCAUAUGUUAGAUUCAGCAGUGUCUUUGAUAGGGAUGCGCUAGUUUCAAACAGUCCACAUCUAUUCACGGAUGUGCAUGUCAUCUUUCAAAUGCAUAAUCAAGGGUUAAACUGGAGGAAUUUGGUCUUAAAUAGAGAUGUGUGGAUUCUGCUCUAUGGAUAUCCAUUUGACAGAAUAUCUAUUCAGGAAGUGAGCAAUGCAAUUAAUAAAUUUGGUAAAUUUCUCAUGUGGGACCAUGUUAGAAGUACCAGGGCCAAUCAUAUGAUUCAUGUCAGAGUUGAGGAACUGUCAGAUAUACCUGUCAGUAUUGUUUUUGGAGGGAGACAGGUUUCAGUCAGGCUCACUUAUAGUACCAGUGUUAAUCCUUUAGCAAUAGAUUCUUGGAGCAGUGCCUCCUGA
rnacentral:rRNA from 1 species